UCGACUCCACGGACGUCGCUGGUGACACAGCGCCCC
rnacentral:sRNA from 1 species